rnacentral:tRNA from 1 species
GAGGGUAUAGCUCAGUGAUAGAGUGCAUGUUUAGCAUGCACGAGGUCAUGAGUUCAAUCCCCAGUACCUCCC